GAUGAACGCUGGCGGCAUGCUUUACACAUGCAAGUCGAACGGUAACAGGCCGCAAGGUGCUGACGAGUGGCGAACGGGUGAGUAAUGCAUCGGAACGUGCCCAGUCGUGGGGGAUAACGCAGCGAAAGCUGCGCUAAUACCGCAUACGAUCUAUGGAUGAAAGCGGGGGACCGUAAGGCCUCGCGCGAUUGGAGCGGCCGAUGUCAGAUUAGGUAGUUGGUGGGGUAAAGGCUCACCAAGCCGACGAUCUGUAGCUGGUCUGAGAGGACGACCAGCCACACUGGGACUGAGACACGGCCCAGACUCCUACGGGAGGCAGAAGUGGGGAAUUUUGGACAAUGGGCGCAAGCCUGAUCCAGCAAUGCCGCGUGCAGGAAGAAGGCCUUCGGGUUGUAAACUGCUUUUGUACGGAACGAAAAGGCUCUGGUUAAUACCUGGGGCUCAUGACGGUACCGUAAGAAUAAGCACCGGCUAACUACGUGCCAGCCGCCGCCGUAAUAC
rnacentral:rRNA from 1 species